AGCUCCAAUAGCGUAUAUUAAAGUUGUUGCAGUUAAAAAGCUCGUAGUUGGAUUUCUGGCAGGAGUGGCCGGCCACGCGCUCUGCGCGUGAGUUUGUGCUGUCUCUGGCCAUCCUCGGGGAGAUCGCGUUUGGCAUUAAGUUGUCGGGCGUGGGAUACCCGUCGUUUACUGUGAAAAAAUUAGAGUGUUUAAAGCAGGCUUAUGCCGUUGAAUAUAUUAGCAUGGAAUAAUAAGAUAGGACUUCGGAACUAUUUUGUUGGUUUGCGUUACGAAGUAAUGAUUAAUAGGGACAGUUGGGGGUAUUCGUAUUUCGUUGUCAGAGGUGAAAUUCUUGGAUUUCCGAAAGACGAACUACUGUGAAAGCAUUUACCAAGGAUGUUUUCAUUAAUCAAGAACGAAA
rnacentral:rRNA from 1 species